CCUACGGGAGGCAGCAGUGAGGAAUAUUGGUCAAUGGACGUAAGGCUGAACCAGCCAAGUCGCGUGAAGGAAGAAGGAUCUAUGAUUUGUAAACUUCUUUUAUAGGGGAAUAAAGGUAUCCACGUGUGGCUAUUUGCAUGUACCCUAUGAAUAAGCAUCGGCUAACUCCGUGCCAGCAGCCGCGGUAAUACGGAGGAUGCGAGCGUUAUCCGGAUUUAUUGGGUUUAAAGGGUGCGUAGGUGGUUUUUUAAGUCAGCGGUGAAAGCUUGUGGCUCAACCAUAACAUUGCCGUUGAAACUGUAAGUCUAGAGUGUGUUUGAGGUAGGCGGAAUGCGUGGUGUAGCGGUGAAAUGCAUAGAUAUCACGCAGAACUCCGAUUGCGAAGGCAGCUUACUAAGCCAUAACUGACACUGAGGCACGAAAGCGUGGGGAUCAAACAGGAUUAGAUACCCGAGUAGUC
rnacentral:rRNA from 1 species